AUGGCGACCUCGGCUGAGCCACAGCGCGCGGCACCCCCAGCCGGGGUACUCGUCGCGGCAGAGCUCGGCGAGGACUCUUCUGGACUUCAUGAUUCUGACAAUUGCAGCCUCAAUUUGAGGUUUUAUGUCUUCCUCAACUCUCUGGCAAGUUUCCAACUUCUCUGGUUCUGUUUCUUUCUAAGCAACCACGGUGCCAAUCUUUACCUUGACCAACUUGCUUGUGGACUUGUCAUUGUAGUAAGUGUCAUCUUCAGAUAUAUCUUGCUCAUGGGUUCCUUCCGCAACACAUUCUUACUCUUAACACAAGCAAGAGACUGGAGGCAGCGUUUCAGAUCAGCAUGUGGUAUACCAGUGGCCUGCUCAAUGUCACCGUAAGUCAAGCCGU
rnacentral:lncRNA from 1 species